rnacentral:miRNA from 1 species
GGAGGGUUAAGAGAGAGAGAGAGAGAGAGAAAGAGAGAGCUAUGGAGCUAUGAAGCUAUGAAGCUAUGGAGCUAUGGACUCCAAGAUCUUGUGCUUGUAUAUGGCGCCUAAAACUGCCCAAUACAGCAUAGACGAGGCCAGUUUCAGUAAAGCCUUAGCCUCAAGCUUUCUCACCCCACCCUUAAUACCCCCCUCUCUCUCUCUCUCUCUCUCCAUCUCUAACCACUUGCUUCCUUUUCCUUUCAAUGACUCAUAAUUCUCUCUCUCUCUCUCUCUCUCUCUCUCUCUCUUUACUUUUUAUUUU